AGAAGUGUGCUGCCUUUUAUUGAUCUGCUGCUUUUCUUAGCUUUCUUGGAAAUAAUAUCAUCAGAUGUCACAGAGCUCAACUCAGCUGUCAGUCCACAGCUGCUGACAUCCAGAGAAACAAAGAAACCUGGAGAACAAGAUAUGAAGAAGAGAGGUGGGGGUAGGAAAGAAAGGGAAAGCACCAGGUCUGGUUUCUGUAUGGUGCAUUUUCACUGUGGGGACAGUUUCCAAUCAAAGGCAAUCUUCGGAGAGGGAACUAAACUUACAGUUUUAGAAGUGAAGACUACUCCCAAACCACCGAAGGUCCAAGUGUUUCCACCCUCUAAAAAGGAAUGUGAAAGCAAAACAGAUGGGAAGAAAAUGAAGACAUUAGUGUGCUUGGCUUCUGGGUUCUACCCAGACCAUGUGACAGUUUCCUGGCAGAUCAACGGGUUUAAUGAAAAACAGGGAGUGAAGACCGAUGAUGCUGCCACGAUGAAAGAUGAUGGUAACUACACCAUUAUGAGCAGGUUGAGGGUUACGGCAUCAAAGUGGUUGAAAAAGGGCACAAAUAUCACCUGCAUUGUCAGCUUCUUUGAUGGGAAUAACACCGUACCUUAUCCAAACUGGACAAUAGGACCAGGAAAUGAAGCAACAAGAGAGAAAUAUCUACAAACCAUGCAAAGAGCCAAGCUAUCCUACACUGCUCUGUUGAUGAAGAGUAGCAUCUACGGCCUCUUUGUGCUGCUGUUGGUGUGGAAGAUUCAGGCUUCAUUCAAAAACAGCCGAACUGAGAGUUGAGCUGAGGAUUAUGGUGCUUCCAUCAAUCUGUGUUCAAACAUUUUACUCAAAUUGUUCAAGUGUUUCUGCUUUGCAUAAUAAAUGUUAUUGACAGAUUAGUAUACUGAUAAAUAAUUACAUAAUUCUGUCAAAUCUGCUAAUCUGCUGCUUUGUGCCAGUUUUUCCUCCUAAUAAAUCAUUUAACCUCAUAUCUGAGACUAUCACAAUUUCUUUUAGAGUUGAAGUGUAAAAGUAAAGGGCCAGCAUGAAAAUUAGGUGCUGCAAGCAUAUGAGUGCUUAAAAUUACUUCCAUGCUCAAUUACAGGAAAGAAUUUUCAGAAUUUAGCUUUUUCUACCUUACUAGGCUGAACCCAUCAUCUCCCAGUCAGAAUUUUUCUCCAGAAUUCAUCUUUUUAAUUUUUAGUCUUGCAUGGUAGAUUAGUUUUCACCUAACAGACCAUUGUAUUCUUUGUGAGCAAAGCUUCACUGUUGGUAGAAAGGUUGAUGUGUAAAUGUCAGUGAACCACGUCUCAGUGUAACAGGAAAUCCUUUUUCUCAACUAUGUAUAAGAAUCAGAUUGAGGCUGCUGGUGCACCCCAACAAACCAGGCCACCAGGGCCUGUGUAGGUGUUGAAAGUGAAACGGAUGUGGUCUACAGGGCAGGCUGCAGGAUGCUGAGGAGCAUUUUGCAAGCGAAAGCACCUGUUCAACCACUCCUGUGGCUUUGGUGCUGCAGCACAAACAGCUGGGGGUGGGUCAACUGAAACUGCAGUGUGUGAACUCAGCGGCCAUUUCAUUUGAGUUGCUGCUUUUCCGCUGUUCCUAAUUUCUUUCUGCCAAAUAAAAACGGCUCAGUUAGUGCAACAGACCUUUUUUUUUUUACAUUUUUGUUGUUUUAUUUCUAAUUCAAGACAAUUCAUAGAGCUAUGUAUGUAUCAUCUGCAUAUUAUGGUAACUAAUCUUAUUACUUGUUAUCACCUGAGCAUAUAGAUAUAUCAUAUAUAUCAUAUACGUAUAUCCAGUAUCUACGUACAUUUUUCUGUUUUAAAUAUUUUAAAGUUUAUGUCAGACUUCUGUGUCCCUCAUUCACUCAGUACUUUAGUGAGUGAAUGUAUCUGGAUGAAAAAGUACUAUAUAAAUAAAUGUAAUGUACUAUUUACUUCUUCCUGGGUGUUUAUGAUGUUGGUUCACUAAUGUUACCCUGAAAACCCCUGAAGCCUUUAGAAAAAAUUUGGAUUUUUUAGUAAACAGAGGUUGACUCUUUUUACUAAUUUGUUGAUGUUUGGAGUCAAUUAGUGAUACUGGGUUUAAUUUUGUGGGUAUCAGAGUAAAAGGGUACAUGUGCACUGUCAGGCUUUUUUUAAAAACAUUGUAUAUCUAUCUUUUGUCUUUCACUUUUAUGCAGCUAUUUUGUGUUGGUCUGUCAUAUGAAAUUUGAAUAAAAGAUGUUGGAGUUUCUUGCAGAAGGAUAAAUGUAAAUAAAAUGAAAUGGGUAUGAAGAGGUAUGAA